AUGGCUACUACUAGCUGCUGGUUCUUGUUCUUCGUCUGGGUUUGGUGGCUGCCACUGAUGCUCGCCGGGGGCGAGGAGCAGCAAGGGGAAGGCUGCUUGCCCAAGAUGUGCGGCAACCUCACCAUCUCCAACCCAUUCUGGCUCCCUGACAAGGGGGCGGGAAGAUCUUGUGGUUCCAUGGAUUUUGAGGUCGCUUGCCAUAACAACAGUUUUCCAGGUCUACGGAGCUCUAUACCCUUGGCCUCGGGCCUUGGCUUUGCAAUCAUCGACAUCUCUUACAAGGAAAACAGUUUGCGCGUCGUUGAUCAAGGCAAUCUGGAACUACUGCAAGCCUCCAACAGCUGCCUUGGAAUGAUAUUGAACACAUCCGUCAAACUUGGCGAACCGUUUAGGAUCAAUCCCGUCGGCCUGAACCUCAUCUUGUACAACUGCACGGAGGAGGGCGCAGCGGCGACUGCAGCACAUCGGGACAGGGACCUGGUAAAGACCGGAGUGAGAUGCCGGAACGAGAGCAAGGUGCUUGUCCGCACGGGAGUACCUUACGACGCGACCGGGAACUAUGGCGGCUACGCUUUGAAGGGCUGCGAAGCUGUCGUCGUGCCGGUGAUGGGCUCGUCCGGUGAGGCGAACGUGAGCAACUACGAGCAACUCAUCAGCAAUGGCUUCCUCUUGACAUGGGAUCUGCCGCAACCUGCACCUGCACCUCUCCAUACGUCUUCACGUACACGUAGCAAGAAGAAAGCGAAGAUUAUACUAAUAGGUAUAACAUCAGCAGCUGCAACCUUUCUCUUUGCAUGUCUUUAUGUGCUGAUAUGCCAUAGAAAACGGAAAGGACUAUGGUUUCUCCUUUGCAAGACUAGCAGCAAAACUGAAAAAAAAUACGAGGCAAUGAUAGUGUCGUAUGGAUCCCUAGCUCCAAAAAGAUACAUGUACUCAGAGGUAAUGAAGAUAACAUCUUCUCGCAACAAUCAGCUUGGAAAAGGUGGUUAUGGUGUGGUCUUCAAAGGAAGACUACAUAAUGGCCGUCUAGUGGCUGUGAAAUUCUUGCAUGACUGCAAAGGAAAUGGGGACGAGUUUGUGAAUGAGGUUAUGAGCAUUGGCAGGACCUCUCAUGUUAAUAUUGUUAGCUUAUUUGGGUUUUGUUUGGAGGGGUCAAAACGAGCUCUUAUAUAUGAGUACAUGCCCAACGGUUCCUUGGAUAAGUACAUUUACUCAGAGAACCCCAAAGAAAUUUUAGGAUGGGAGAGGCUCUAUGCGAUAGCACUCGGGAUUGCUCGUGGCCUCGAAUACUUGCACCAUAGCUGUAAUACACGUAUCGUCCAUUUUGAUAUCAAGCCCCAAAAUAUCCUUCUAGACAAGGAUUUUAACCCGAAGAUUGCUGAUUUUGGUCUAGCUAAAUUGUGUCAUACAAAGGAGAGCAAACUUUCAAUGACUGGUGCUAGAGGAACGAUUGGAUUCAUCGCACCAGAAGUUCACUCUCGAACAUUUGGAGUGGUUUCAACAAAGUCAGAUGUUUAUAGUUAUGGAAUGAUGCUUUUGGAGAUGGUUGGAGGAAGGAGAAACGUAAAAUCAGCUGUUGCAAAAUCAAGCGAAAAGUAUUUUCCAGACUGGAUUUAUGACCACUUUGCGCAAGAUGAUGGACUACAAGCAUGCGAAGUCACAGGAGAAACUGAGGAAAUCGCAAGAAAGAUGACCUUAAUUGGCCUGUGGUGCGUACAAAUACUGCCUGCAUAUCGCCCUACCAUAACCAAAGUUCUAGAAAUGUUCGAGAUAAGCUCAGAUGACAUGGACAUGCCACCGAAGCAAAACUUCUCUGGAUUGCUUGAAAGUUCAGCUCACAAUAUGGAUGUACAAAGUUCAAGUUCUAACAGAUCUGAGGAGAUCAGCCUUGUGAAUUCAAAAAUCCUACAACAAUCACCAACUCUUUGA
rnacentral:rRNA from 1 species